UGCUGGUUCCCUUGCAACGCUUUUAUUGUGAACUCCGUCAGAACUGGAAGGUAGCAGCGGUAGCAGUGUAUGUGGGUGCCGAGGUGUAGCUAGUGAGU
rnacentral:SRP_RNA from 1 species